rnacentral:rRNA from 1 species
UACGGGGGGGGCAAGCGUUGUUCGGAAUUACUGGGCGUAAAGGGCUCGUAGGCGGCCAACUAAGUCAGCCGUGAAAUCCCUCGGCUUAACCGGGGAACUGCGGCUGAUACUGGAUGGCUUGAGAUUGGGAGAGGGAUGCGGAAUUCCAGGUGUAGCGGUGAAAUGCGUAGAUAUCUGGAGGAACACCGGUGGCGAAGGCGGCAUCCCGGACCAAUACUGACACUGAGGAGCGAAAGCCAGGGGAGCGAACGGG